UUAAUUGAGGGUAUUUUUUUAUUGCUUAGAUGGGUGGACGAGCUCGCAGCCCAUCUGAUGUUAAGUGGUUACCGGAGCCCGUAGACAUCUACAACGUAAAUGCCUCCACCCAUCUUAGAUAUGAGUUCUAAGGUCUCAGUA